rnacentral:tRNA from 1 species
GGAGUUAUAGCUCAGUGGUAGAGCACAUGCUUAGCAUGCACUAGGUCCUGGGUUUAAUCCCCAGUACCUCCA